rnacentral:rRNA from 1 species
GACAGCAGCAGCCGCGGGAAUACCGAGGGUGCGAGCGUUAAUCGGAUUUACUGGGCGUAAAGCGUGCGUAGGCGGCUUCUUAAGUCGGAUGUGAAAUCCCUGAGCUUAACUUAGGAAUUGCAUUCGAUACUGGGAAGCUAGAGUAUGGGAGAGGAUGGUAGAAUUCCAGGUGUAGCGGUGAAAUGCGUAGAGAUCUGGAGGAAUACCGAUGGCGAAGGCAGCCAUCUGGCCUAAUACUGACGCUGAGGUACGAAAGCAUGGGGAGCAAACAGGAUUAGAUACCCCGGUAGUCCCUGUCUCUUAUAC